AUAACGGUCAUUUGAAGUUGACCGGAUCAGUUGUGGUCCUAUGAAAGAAGGGUAGGAAGCUGAGACUGUCGGGGGGGACUGACUUAACAAAUAACGCCUUUGAAAACAUCGUUAAAUUGGAAAUCGCUGAAUACGACGUCGUCCUUCUGCUUUCAGCUGCAAUUGUCUUCGUAAACGCAUACAUGUGCGAUCGAGGUCUCUUGCUUAUCCCCCAAACGCCGAUCUCAUCAGAGAACUGGUAAUAACAUUUGAAACCAAAGAAGUUCAGUAUUAUAUUAUUCGCUACAAUUUUUGUGAAAUGGCGGAGAAAGCAUGUGUCAAGCGCCUCCAGAAGGAAUAUAGAGCACUCUGCAAAGUAUGACUUCUUUUGUUCAUCUCAACUUGUUUUCAAAUCUCUGUUAUAAUCAGUUCAUAUCAUUUAGAUCCUAAUUAUGUUCUUUGUGAUUAAAUUUGCUUGCUUGACCAGUGUAUAUAUUCUGAUGUUUCACUGCAAUAUCAGUAUAUGGUUCUCAUAUAUACUUUUAGUGUAAUCUUUUGGUCUUGUUACAUUCAUAAAUUGGACAGUUAAAUCUCUCCUUUUGUUUUCUUUCAGUUAGU